UUAACCUACGAAAAUUAGCCAGACGCUCGCACCCUCGUGACCUCGAUGCACUUGCUCGCACAAGUCGCCACCGUCAUUCGUUCCUACGUCGCUCAAUCCCCUUGCAGCCGCCGCCGAUCCCCUCCCCCAUCUCCCUUCCUCAAACGCCGCCGCCCGUCGCUGCCGCCCCCGCCUCCAGCCGCGGCUGUCGCACCCACCUCCAGCCGCGGCCGCCGCCCCACCUCCGGCUCGACUCCACGAUCCCCUUCCUAUCGAUCACCCACGCCCCCACCGCUUCGCAUCUGAUCACCACCAGCGCCCGUGCUCUUCUGGCCACCGACCGCCAUGCAGUCGUCCGUGCCGAACCUUCGCGCUGUGUUCCUCCGUGCGAGGCCGCUGCCACUGCAACGGCUCUCUCGGAUCCAACACGAAGCUUGUGACGAAGGGCUUGGAGUUGGCCAUGAGUGCUCAAGGUGAAGUGGCGGCAUGCGUUUCUGUAGGGGGGAGGAGCGUGCAUUAGGGAAGUCAGCAGCCGGAUCUGAGCGCGGGUGAGGCCAGGUUGCCACUUGAGGCCCAUGUCGGUCAGAUCCAGGCAACACAUGGGAGUCAGCGUGGCGGCGGCGUAGUGCCGAGGCAGGAAGGAGGCAUGGGACGACACAUCGGCGGGUCAUGGUGCACUGCACGAGAUGAGUGACAUGAUGUAAACAACGCUGUAGGCGUUGAUGCCACACAUGUGUCAUUUUCUACUACCGAUACUGAUUCUUGAGGGCUACUGGCACUGCCACCAGGUAUGAGCAGGAACUGCCUCCAUUGAGAACUCUGGGUACUGCCGCCGCCGACGACCAUCGAGCACUGAGUUGGAACUACCACCAUCAAGGAUGACAGGCCGCCAUUGAGGUUGAUUGUUUUGGCCGCGCCUUCCCACUACCAGUCUGCACCAUCACUGAUGUAUUCUGAGCAGCCGGAGAACCCCUACGGUUGCAAGAUUCCUGCAACUUGUAUUUGAGAUGCAUGCCCUAAUCAUCUUGGUUGUGGUCAGGUGUGGUAUGUCGGAAUCCCGUCAGAAGAAUGUGGUACAUAAUAAUAGUUUCAUCAUCUCAUCUUCAUGCUACUUCCAGUUAAGUAAGCUUACUUCUCCUUUUGAUCUAUAGUUCAUUUCUAUUAUCGGAAGCGAUCUGAACUAAAAUAAAAUUUAUGUGGUUUCUUAGCAUUUUCUAUCUCAAACUUUACAUCAUUAUGUCAGGUGCUAGAAAAAUAAAUAACUAAGACAUGUUUUAAGGAAUUCAAAGAUGAGUUCCCUUUGAAGAGCAAGCAAUCAUAGUACGGAGCAAGAUGAUUCAAAAUAGAGGUUCCCAUAAUUAGAGGCAAUUAAAUCAUAUAUGAUGAUUAGCCUAAUGUGCUGCUAUACCAUUUAAAACAUUUUUUGACCUGGGAGCAAUUAGCAAACUCUGACCUCUUUGUAAUGUUUGAUUACCAUUUAUGUAGGGCUCUGUACUGCAGGACAACAUAUUCACUAUCAAUAUAUGGUUUAUUUCCAAUAUAAGGUGUAUGUCAAGUUAUACACUGGCUACAGAAAGUGAGUGUGAGUGGUAGACUGGAAAUUAAAGACUGUAACUUGAUAGCAUCUGGAUAAAUGUUAAUAAAAAUUGUAUAAAAAUAAAAAGGUUAAGUCUGCUGGUUCGAAUAAGCAGUCAUUUGUCUUCCUUCCACAGUUUCCACUAUAUGUUAUUUUUAUUGGUUUUUCCCUCUAGACUUCAAUUUUUUUAUACCAUGGUGAGUUGCCUUUAGUUAGUUUAUUGAAUUUGAUACUUCCAUCAGUUCAUUGCCUUUAGUUAGUUCUAUAACAAGUUUCAAUCAAUUGUUCAUCCCUACGUCAACGAAUAGGUAUGGAGUUGCUUAUUGUUACUUCAAAGUAGCAAGACUGUGUGAUGAUUCCUACAUAGUGAUUAACAUAUCUAUGCCAUGUACAUUUAUUCUUUGGAACUGGAGGUAAUUUCUUCUAAUGAUCACAAGUUAUUUAUGCCUCUUUUGUACUGAGAUCUCUAGAAGUGGAGGGGUUGAAGAAGGUCAAGUGCAAGAUGAAGAUUGAUAGGAAGAUUUACAGCCCAAUGUUGAAGUAUGUAACCCAUUUUGUUUGCAUGUAGCUACAAUCCAAGAGGAAGAAAUGCAGAAGAAUUUGUUCAGGCUUUGGACAUGUGUGGUUGAGGAGAGAGCGACAUCCAACCACUACAAACUUGACAUAUGUGCAAAGGUACAAGUAAUACAUGCAAUUGUCAAGGAAAAUAACAUAUAUGUGGUGAACAACUCCUAUAGGUAGAGUGAAUGUCGGUUGUUUUACAACAGAUGGGAUGUCCUUCAGUUCAUCUUCUAUGCUAUCGGUGAUCGACUUUGUUUGACCCUUGCAGCAAGUGGCCGUCAUACCCGCCGGCGAUGCGUCCGUGCCUAGCGCUUGCCACCGCGCGCCAUCGCUCAUUGUACACCACCUCGCUGUCCUAAGCUGAGUCCCCACGGGCCGCACUCGUCAGCGGCGGCGGCGCCACCCUCAUCCGGUAUUUUGAGGUUUUCACGCAGAUCUGUUGUUCAGUCUCAGUGCAGCGUGCCUUGACUCCGCAUGAUGAAUUUGCUAGUUGCUUGUAUAUUCUACUAAGAUUGACGUGAGUCUUCUUGGGCCUGAUUCAUUCAAGGAAACUAUCUACAGACAAUUAUUUCAUUUAUUUAUUUGAAACCAUUUUUUUCUUUGAGGAGAGUAUACAGAAAGACGAAUAGACAUGAAGAAUAAGCUCCAUAGCAAAGGGAUUUUGGUAGUACAUGCCAUGUUUAUGCUCACUGUUGAAUAGUCUGUAUAUAACUAUUUAUGCAAUACUUGGACCAUAGGAGCAAUUCAUUCUGUAUAUUUUGCUAGGGAUUGUGCCUUGCAGUCAAUUUAUAGAAGGGUAGGAUGUAUCACAAUUUCUUUGACUUGCAUUCUCUGUGAUGUCAAGUAAGAAAAUAGAAUAUAUACUCUUAGAAUUAUCUUUUCUUUUUUUCGAUGUCUCUAUCUUACUUAUAUAAUCCAAUUGGCAUUCGCUAGAGUUUCUGUUAAUGAAACAUUUAUUUUGUGAUGUCAGCAGGUUUUGUUGAUCUACAUUACGGUUUAAUUCUAACACGAAUUAAUGUUGACUCGAUUCCCUGUAGUAGGUUGAGAGGCUUCUUCUCUCAAGAUUUACUCUGAUUAGUUUGCUUGGCUCCAUGCUCCUCAUGAUUUCUUUGAAUUUUUCUGUAGGAGCUCGAUCAAAAAUCACCUAAGAAAAAUAUGUUGUUAUUCUCUAUAAUGGUUGUUGUGGAAUUUGAGGAGAAUCUGUGCACCUGCAUCCGGCUCCUUGAUGUUGCUCUGAUCAUAUUGUGUAAAUAUAUUUCUAAUAAAGCAAUCGCCCGAUGGUGUACAUGUUAGAAAUAACAAGAUGUAAUCAUCAAGCGUGAGAGAUGGCAACAUCAUGAUGGGAUGCCAAGCCAACAACAGAGCCAGGCUUAGGCCUGAUGACGACUUGACAAAUAUGGUCAAGAUGUUGAAGAUGAUGAAUCUGAAGAUACUGAAGAAAUAGGGGGGGUACUCUUAGCCUUAGUUCCUUAUAUCAUUUUUUGAUGUCCAUUGCUAUGUAUCUGUAUAAACUUGCUUCAGCCAUUAUUGUCAAUUGGUCGGCAAAAGGAUUGCAUAUCUCUAGCCAUACAGAAUAAGCAGACGAGAUGAUGUGCAUUUAUUUGGUGGCACAAAAUCAAUUUCCUUUGCCAACUAAUAGUACAUACAUUAAGAAAAUUACUAUAGUUGGUAGCU